CCUACGGGGGGCUGCAGUCGAGAAUAGUCUACAAUGGUCGGAAGACUGAUAGUGCGACGCCGCGUGAACGAUGAAUCCCUUCGGGGUGUAAAGUUCUUUUAUAUGUGAGCAGUGCUUCUUAUAUUAACAGUAUGGGGAGAGAGAUAUUAGCAUAUGAAUAAGCAACGGCUAACUCCGUGCCAGCAGCCGCGGUAACACGGGGGUUGCGAGCGUUGUCCGGAAUUACUAGGCGUAAAGGGCAGGCAGGCGGAUCCAUAAGUUUAUCGUUUAAGGCGUCGGCUUAACCGGCGUAGGGCGGUAGAUACUGUGGAUCUGGAAUGCGGUUGGGGAAGACAGAAUUCCUGGUGUAGCGGUGGAAUGCGCAGAGAUCAGGAGGAAUACCGAAGGCGAAGGCAGUCUUCCAAGCCGUUAUUGACGCUCAACUGCGAAGGUGUGGGUAUCAAACAGGAUUAGAUACCCUGGUAGUC
rnacentral:rRNA from 1 species